rnacentral:rRNA from 1 species
AUUGCACGCUGGCGGCCGGUCUAAUACAUGCAAGUCGUACGAGUGGCAGACGGGUGAGUAAUGUCUGGGAAACUGGGUGACGGCCGGGGACACCCGCUGGAAACGGUUUCUAAUCCCGCUUACCAUCCGACGUUCCCAGAUUGGAUUAGCUUGUUGGUGGGGUAACGGCUCACCAAGGCGACGAUCCCUAGCUGGUCUGAGAGGAUGACCAGCCACACUGGAACUGAGACACGGGCCAGACUCCUACGGGAGGAAGCAGUGGGGAAUAUUGCACAGUGGGCGAAAGCCUGAUGGAGCCAUGCGGCGUGUAUGAAGAAGGCCUUCGGGUUGUAAAGUACUUUCAGCGGGGAGGCGUUACCAGAAGAAGAAGCACCGGCUAACUCCGUGCCAGCAGCCGCGGUAAUAC